rnacentral:lncRNA from 1 species
GGCUUCUGUACCGUCUAUGCAGACAUGGUUCAAGAACUUCAAAUUCGAAGUGAGUCUGUUGACAGGAGUAUUAGUACUGAUCACCAAAUGGCAGAUGAAGGAAGAGGCCUGGCUCUGAGGCACACAAAAGGAGGUAAGCAGGUAAGCGCAGCCCUACCUGU